UACGUAGGUGGCAAGCGUUGUCCGGAUUUACUGGGCGUAAAGAGCGCGCAGGCGGUCGUUCAAGUCGCGUGUGAAAGCCCCCCGGCUCAACUGGGGAGGGUCACGCGAUACUGAUCGACUCGAAAGGCAGGAGAGGGAAGUGGAAUUCCCGGUGUAGUGGUGAAAUGCGUAGAUAUCGGGAGGAACACCGUGGCGAGAGGCGAGUCCUGGACCAAUAACGUGACGCUGAGGAGCGAAAGCCAGGGGAGCAAAGCGGG
rnacentral:rRNA from 1 species